rnacentral:rRNA from 1 species
UCCUGACUGACCGAUAGUGAACCAGUACCGUGAGGGAAAGGCGAAAAGAACCCCGGCGAGGGGAGUGAAAAAGAACCUGAAACCGUGUACGUACAAGCAGUGGGAGCACGCUUAGGCGUGUGACUGCGUACCUUUUGUAUAAUGGGUCAGCGACUUAUAUUCUGUAGCAAGGUUAACCGAAUAGGGGAGCCGAAGGGAAACCGAGUCUUAACUGGGCGUUAAGUUGCAGGGUAUAGACCCGAAACCCGGUGAUCUAGCCAUGGGCAGGUUGAAGGUUGGGUAACACUAACUGGAGGACCGAACCGACUAAUGUUGAAAAAUUAGCGGAUGACUUGUGGCUGGGGGUGAAAGGCCAAUCAAACCGGGAGAUAGCUGGUUCUCCCCGAAAGCUAUUUAGGUAGCGCCUCGUGAAUUCAUCUCCGGGGGUAGAGCACUGUUUCGGCAAGGGGGUCAUCCCGACUUACCAACCCGAUGCAAACUGCGAAUACCGGAGAAUGUUAUCACGGGAGACACACGGCGGGUGCUAACGUCCGUCGUGAAGAGGGAAACAACCCAGACCGCCAGCUAAGGUCCCAAAGUCAUGGUUAAGUGGGAAACGAUGUGGGAAGGCCCAGACAGCCAGGAUGUUGGCUUAGAAGCAGCCAUCAUUUAAAGAAAGCGUAAUAGCUCACUGGUCGAGUCGGCCUGCGCGGAAGAUGUAACGGGGCUAAACCAUGCACCGAAGCUGCGGCAGCGACGCUUAUGCGUUGUUGGGUAGGGGAGCGUUCUGUAAGCCUGCGAAGGUGUGCUGUGAGGCAUGCUGGAGGUAUCAGAAGUGCGAAUGCUGACAUAAGUAACGAUAAAGCGGGUGAAAAGCCCGCUCGCCGGAAGACCAAGGGUUCCUGUCCAACGUUAAUCGGGGCAGGGUGAGUCGACCCCUAAGGCGAGGCCGAAAGGCGUAGUCGAUGGGAAACAGGUUAAUAUUCCUGUACUUGGUGUUACUGUGAAGGGGGG